rnacentral:rRNA from 1 species
CUACGGGAGGCUGCAGUGGGGAAUAUUGCACAAUGGGCGCAAGCCUGAUGCAGCAACGCCGCGUGAGGGAUGAAGGCCUUCGGGUUGUAAACCUCUUUUAGCAGGGAAGAAGCGAAAGUGACGGUACCUGCAGAAAAAGCACUGGCUAACUACGUGCCAGCAGCCGCGGUAAUACGUAGGGUGCAAGCGUUGUCCGGAAUUAUUGGGCGGAAAGAGCUCGUAGGCGGUUUGUCACGUCUGCUGUGAAAAUCCAAGGCUCAACCUUGGACUUGCAGUGGGUACGGGCAGGCUAGAGUGCGGUAGGGGAGAUGGGAAUUCCUGGUGUAGCGGUGGAAUGCGCAGAUAUCAGGAGGAACACCAAUGGCGAAGGCACAUCUCUGGGCCGUAACUGACGCUGAGGAGCGAAAGCGUGGGGAGCGAACAGGAUUAGAUACCCCCGUAGUC